UAUGCUAAAAAUUAGGAGUAGAGAAUAAAACAAAUUGUUUCUCACUCUGUCGACGAUUGAAAACGAAUUGGUUUCUUAAUUCCUACUUUCUAAACGAAAACUAUUUGGGUUUCAUCUCUAUCAUCAUCUUCUUCAAUCUCAAUCUCUUCUCUCACAUCAAUUUGGGAGCCGUUUUUAUCAGCAAUGACAGUUCUGAAGCUCCGUAAUAGAGCGGGAACACACCCAAAUACGCCACGAUAACAAUCAGGCGACUAUUUAUUGAGAAGUGUUUAGGUGGAAAGUGUUUAGGUGGGGCUUAAUAAACAUACUUGUACUUGAGAAAUAAAUCAUAAUUUUAUAGUAUACAAGGAAUUUCUGUGGUGAGAAUGGCGAAGCCUUUCCAAAGAAGAUACGCCUCAGGUCAAAUUUGCUGGUUAAUAUUAGACCAUCUCCGGGAAUUCAAGUAAAUCUUUCUAACUAUUAAUUUAUUAAGUAGUAACUUAUAUAUACAUUACAAUAAUUAUGUAACGGUGUAGUAUCUUCUCCCAACGUUUGCUCUGUCCAUCUCCUCGAGCUUAGAUCUGAUAGAUCUAGCUUUUUUCAGAACGGAAACAAUGUCAGAAUUGAUUCGAUGUCGAGGUCUUUCAUGGCGGCCUUUUUGAGAUCGAUGUAGUUGGUGAAGGACUCUAUGACUUUCUUUUUCGUAUUUGUUCUUGAUAUUUUCUUUAAUUAUUCUAGGGAUUGUCUGGUUUUUUUUUUCCCUUUUUCUAAGAGUUUAAUCUUUGAUAAAUUUAAAGGCAUAAUUGAUCAUUGACUAUGAAUGUAUAACUGGACAUGAACAAGAUGACUUAGGAUUAGUAUUUAGGGUUGCCAUAGAUGUGGGUGACUACCCAAUAUUGCAAUCACUAUCAUAUUUAAAUGAAAACAUUUCGGAGGAAAAUAUAAAGGGACAUCAACUUAAUUAAGAACAAAAUUAAACUUUAUAUUGAAAAAGAAAUAGAACAAAUUUCAUUGUGAUAAUCACUGAUAUUUUUCUCUAUUUAUUGUUUAGGAGAAGUAUUUUGAAUUUGUACUAAUUGAACUGCCAUAUCGGAAACUUUUUUGCAACUUUUGAUAGGUGAAUUAGAGAAGCAGUUGGAUCUUUGCUUUCAGUCACGGGAGAGGGCAUCUUGGCAUGGUCUGGAGAUGAUAAUUUUGUUGUGGAGGAUAAAUCAAGGAUGCAACCUGAGGCAAUAUAUUUUAUUUAUUGUAUUCUAACUCCUCAAGUUGAUAAUAGCUAAUUCUUACAAUGUAUAUUUUAUAUGGCACCCAAUUAUUUUUGCAA